AUGAAUGUUGAGCUGAAUGCGUGGAAUUCUGCUUCUAUCUCUCUCUUCUUCUAUUUGCUCACUAACUUGUAAACACCGUGAAUGGAACUUGGCUACCAGCCAUUUCCAUCACUAAGGCACCUCUAGAUGUUAUCCAGAUUGGUUCCCAGUCAAUCAGACACGCACAUUUCUCCUUUUAUUUUCAUUCUUAAAAUCUCUUAGCAGUUAGGAGGAGGAGGAGCCAAGUCUACUGAUGGUUUUGCUACUACCACUGCUGCUUCACUUGUUCGUGCAAAAGAUGACAGUGGUUUUGUUAAAUGUGAAGAGUGCAAGAAGGAUUUGCCAGUGGCUUUAUAAGUUUCCAAGGCCGUAGUCUUGAUGAUAAAAUCAAGAUAAAUUCUGUGAUUUGGUUUGUAGGAAGACAGCAAUCUUGACAGAGCCGAAAGCGAAGAAAGAGAAGGGCAAUGAUCAAAAUGCACUGAAACGACCUCCCAUUACUUUCUUUCUCCUCAUGUUGCAAGGGAAGGUGGUGAGAGAUGGAAAUUAAUGACUGGUGAAGUGAGUGUUGGUUUAUCUCUCUUUUUUCUAUAAAUCAUUGGUGGACAUUUAUAAGCUAUUGAAUGAUGAGAGUGGUCUGUAACUGUUAUGUUUUGAUUUCGAUUUGUUUCUGGAGAAGAAGCCUUAUGU